UAUUAAGUGGCUGAAAUUUUAAGCAAUGGUCUCUUAAACCAAUUUAUAGUAUAUUACUCUUAAUAA
rnacentral:tRNA from 1 species